CCCACGCAUGCGCAGUUUUAUACGGACCCGGAAAAGGAAAUCUUGGGACCAAGGUCACACGGCAGAGCGUACACACCUGCACCAGAUGGAAGAUCCCAGGGAACAGUUGACCUUCCAGGAUGUGGCCAUAGAAUUCUCGGAGGAGGAGUGGGCCUGCCUGGACCCUGCUCAGAGGGCCUUUUACGUGGACGUGAUGCUGGAGACCUACAGGAACCUGCUCUCUUUGGAUACCUCUCAUAUCCAUGGGAUGGGGAAAUUACAGCCAACAGUAAACAAUGACAGAGGAGAUGUAUUCCAAACAGGGACGUUGGAAAGUCAGGAAAGCCAUCACAUGAAACACUUUUACGUCCCAGAAAUACAGGAAGAUAUGUAUGACUUUGGGUGCCAGUGGCAGGAUGGUGAAAGAAAUUAUGAAGUGAUGCCUGGAGCCCAGAAGGAAAAUGUAACUGACACAAGAGAGAGACAAGGCAAUUGGAAUGCAGUAAAGAAGCCUCUUGGAAACGGGCUGGCCUUAAGCUUUCAGGAUGAACUGCGUAUAUUGAAGAAGGAUAUUUACACAUGCAAAGAGUGUGGCAAAUCCUUUAACCACGGCUCAUCCCUCCGUAGACACCAGAUAAUCCAUACAGGCGAGAAGUCCUACGAGUGUGGUGUGUGUGGCAGUGUUUUCCGCCGGAAAUCCCACCUGGCAAGUCAUUGGACAGUUCACACCCGUGAGAAAACCUACAAGUGUCAUGAAUGUGGCAAAGCCUUCAAUCAUGGCUCUUCCCUCCGUAGGCAUCAGCUCAUCCACACAGGCGAGACAUUAUAUAAAUGCGACGUAUGCGGCAAAGUAUGCAGUCAGCACGCCUCCCUUAGACGUCAUCAGCGAGUUCACACCGGAGAGAGACCCUACCAGUGUCCCGAGUGCGGCAAAACCUUUAACCGUGGCUCCCACCUCGCCACCCAUCAGCUCGUCCACACGGGAGUGAAGUUAUGUAAAUGCGACGUGUGCGGCAAAGUCUUCAGUCAGAAUUCAUGCCUUAGAAUUCACCGCAGAAUCCAUAAUGGAGAGAAACCUUACAAAUGUCACGAAUGUGGUAAGGCCUUUCGGCAAAAUUCUCACCUUGGACGACAUCAGAGAAUUCACACCGGGGAGAAGCCCUACAGAUGUAGUGAAUGCGGCAAAGUCUUCAGUCAGCAUUCCAAUCUUGCAGGUCAUCAGAGAAUUCACACUGGAGAGAAGCCUUACACCUGUCAAGUAUGUGGCAAGGUCUUCAGCCAAAAUUCCAACCUUGCCAGUCACCAGAGAAUUCAUACCGGAGAGAAGCCCUACCAAUGCAAUGAGUGCGGCAGGUCCUUUAACCAAAAGGCAUACCUCGCAAAGCAUCAGAGGGUUCACGAUGACGAGAAGUCUCACACGUGUCAUGUGUGUGGCAGGGUCUUCAGUCGCAAUUCCAACCUUGUCAGUCAUCAGAGAAUUCAUACCGGAGAGAAGCCCUACCAAUGCAAUGAGUGUGGCAGGUUCUUUUCUCAAAAGCCAAACCUUGGAAAGCAUCGGAGAGUUCAUACUGGACAGAAGCCCUAUAAAUGCAAUGUAUGUGCAAAAGCAUUCACUCAGAGCUCCUACCUUGCCAUCCACCAGAGAAUUCACACUGGGGAGAAGCCGUACAAAUGCAAUGACUGCGGCAAGGUCUUUAGUCAAAACUCCUACCUGGCGAAGCACCGCAGAAUUCACACUGGAGAGAAGCCGUACAAGUGUCACGAGUGCGGCAAGGCCUUCAGUCAAAAAGGAAACCUGGCGAGUCACUGGAAGAUCCACACCGGGGAGAAGCCGUACAAGUGUCACGAGUGCGGCAAGGUCUUCAGUCAGAGAUCGACCCUGGUGAGCCAUCAGAUAAUCCACACCGGCGAGAAACAUUACAGGUGCAACGAGUGUGGCAAAACCUUUUAUUUUGCCUCGCACCUCAUUCAGCACCAAACCAUCCACUCGGGAGAUAAGCCCUAUAAAUGUGACGUGUGCGGGAAAGUCUUCGGCCAGAACUCCUACCUUGCCAUCCAUCGGCGGAUUCACACGGGCGAGAAGCCCUACCAGUGCCAAGACUGCGGCCGAAUCUUUAAUCACAGCUCGAACCUCAAGCGACAUCAGAUAACCCACACCGGCCAGAAACUGUGCAAAUGCGACGUGUGCGGCCGAGUCUUCAGCUACAACUCCUACCUUACAAUCCACCAGCGCGUGCACACAGGCGAGAAGCCUUACAAGUGCCACGCCUGCGGCAAAGUCUUCAAUCGGAAUUCAAAUCUGACCAUCCACCAGCGGGUCCACACCGGGGAGAAACCGUACGCGUGUUCUGAGUGCGGCAGCUGCUUCAGUCGCAAGGCCUACCUCACAAAGCAUCAGAGUGUUCACACUAAGCCCAGACCUUGUACAGGUAAAGACUGUUGAAACGCCCUCCCUCAGAGCUCAGCCCUCACUGCACACCCGGUAAUACGUAUAACAGGGUCCAUAUUAACGUGAUGUAUGGGGGGGAGGCCAUCCUUCAAAAUCGCCCCUUCCUUUUUUUUAGUAUUUAUUUCUGUGGAUUUUUUGCUGUGGCAUGCAGCAGCGUGAUGGCCUCUUAGUUCCCAGACCAGGGACUGAACUCUGGCCGCAGGGCUGAGAGCGCUGAGUCCUAUAACCACUAUAUGUACAGAGAACACCCAACGUUGACACUGCCGCUCUCUUUUUUUUUUUUUCUUUUGGCCCAUGCCCUCGGCUGUAGACGUUUCUGGGCCAGGCGUUGAAACCACGCCAUAGCAGGGACCCAGAGCCACAGCGGUGGCAAUGCCGGCUUUUUAACCUGCGGGGCCACCAGGGAGCUCCCAAAAUUAACACUUCAGAUUCAUGGGAGCUUCAUAGUGGGGAGGUAUUAUGCAAAUGCCGCAAGUGUGGCCAAGCCUCACUUACCAUCAGAUAAUCCACACUGGGCAGAAACCGUAAAAAUAUAUUCAUGCAUUGAAUGUGUCACAGUCUUUUUUUGUUUGUUUGUUUUUUAGGGCCGCACCUGCGGCAUAAGGAGGUUCCCAGGCUAGGGGUCCAU